AGCUUAAUAGUUAAUUUUAUCCACAGAAUUAUUUUCAAGAAUGGGAGCUACUCUCUGCCUCAAUCCAACUUGCUAACCCUUUUCUCUACUCUGACACCAUUUUCUUAUUUGUUUAUUUGUUUUCAUAUUACAAAAUUAUAUGCAACAGGGGUUUGAAUCCACACCAUUACUACCACCAGAGUUCUGAAUCUUCAAUCUCCCCACUACAAUCCACCACAGUUUCCCUAAAUUUGUAGACACGGGCCAACCAUCAUCUCUACAACUAUCUGUCCAUAUUUAUACAUAGUUGCCCCCACCUUUUUUUUCUGAUUAAAUCCUCUCUUCCCCUCCAAGCUACUCAUGACAACAUAACUACUUCCAUAUGUCCCUCUCCUUUUCUUUCUUUCUCUCUGGGUGCUGAUGGAGCUGGAGUUCAGAGCCCUCUUCAUCCUAUCACUUUUCCAUCACUAGGAGUAUGGAUCAAGGUUGUUUUGGGGGAGCAGAAGACACCAUCCUGACUUCUCUGGGCAGACAACCCCAUCAAUGUGUCCUGGAAGCUCACCUCUCCUGAAUGCUACCCAACUAUGGAAAGAUAAACAGACCUGCUGAUGCACAUGUCCAGCAGAGAAACAAUUACAGAAGCCGGAAUCCUACCUUCUGCACCCCAAAACCACCAGGUUCCAGAUGCUACCAUGAUGCCAACUGGACUUCCCUGGGCAGACCACCCCACCAAUGUGUCCUGGAGCCCCACUUCCCCAGAGCUCCACCACAUCAGGGAGUGAGAGAGACAGGAUGGGAAUAUGGAUCAACCUAUCAACGCCCAUAUUCAGCAGGGAAGCAAUUACAGAAGCCAGACCUUCCACUUUCUGCACCCCAUAAUGCCCAAAAUCAAUUUUGAUCCAUCCUCCCAGUGGGGGAGAAAUGAUAAGAGGAAAAGGAUAAGAAGGCUCUGAACUCUGGCUCCAUCAGGAGAGAAAGGAAGAAAAAGGGAGGGACAUUUGGAUGUUGCAAUAGUGUCAUGAGUGGCUUGGAGGACAAGAGAGGAUUGGACCUGGAAGAAAAGGGGGGCAAUUGUGUACAAAUGUAGAUAAAUACUUUUAGAGAUGAUAGUUGACCCAUGUCUGCAACCUUAGGAGAACUGGUGGUUUGCAAUGGAGGGAUUGGGGGUUCA